rnacentral:rRNA from 1 species
CACGUAGUUAGCCGUGGCUUCCUCCUCAGGUACCGUCAUUAUCGUCCCUGAAGACAGAGCUUUACAACCCGAAGGCCUUCAUCACUCACGCGGCGUUGCUGCAUCAGGGUUUCCCCCAUUGUGCAAUAUUCCCCACUGCUGCCUCCCGUAGGAGUCUGGGCCGUGUCUCAGUCCCAAUGUGGCCGAUCACCCUCUCAGGUCGGCUACGCAUCGUCGCCUUGGUGAGCCGUUACCUCACCAACUAGCUAAUGCGCCGCGGGCCCAUCUGAUAGCGGAUUACUCCUUUGGUCAUUUGAAGAUGCCUUCAUUUGACUUUAUGCGUAUUAAUCUCCGUUUCGGGAGGCUACUCCCCCUCUAUCAGGCAGGUUCGCCCACGUGUUACUCACCCGUCCGCCGCGUAGGAACUCCCCGAAGGUACUUUCCUCGCUCGACUUGCAUGUGUUAAGCACGCCGCCAGCGUCGUCCUGACGCCGAGGAUACGAACUACUCUGACGACUCGACC